GAAAAUGGUCCUUCCAAUGUUCGAGACUUGCUAUGGAAAUCUCAACCUGGUGGCACUUCUCCUUCCAUAUUUGAGGGGUAACAUAGGAAACCCUUAUUGCCUCCUCUUUGAGGUGACGUUCCACCUCUAUCUUGGCCUUGGCCUCGCGGAGGGCAAGCUUGAGAUCCUGAAUCUCCAGGUCGGACGCAUCUCUCAAUGCCUUCUUCUCCUUGACAGCCAACUCGAACCAAUGGUGGUUGUCCCCUCGUUCUUUCUCUG
rnacentral:lncRNA from 1 species